UACGUAGGGUGCGAGCGUUAAUCGGAAUUACUGGGCGUAAAGCGUGCGCAGGCGGUUUCGUAAGACAGAGGUGAAAUCCCCGGGCUCAACCUGGGAACUGCCUUUGUGACUGCAAAGCUGGAGUGCGGCAGAGGGGGAUGGAAUUCCGCGUGUAGCAGUGAAAUGCGUAGAUAUGCGGAGGAACACCGAUGGCGAAGGCAAUCCCCUGGGCCUGCACUGACGCUCAUGCACGAAAGCUAGGGGAGCGAAUGGG
rnacentral:rRNA from 1 species